GCCGGGGUGGCGGAACUGGUAGACGCGCCGGAUUCAAAAUCCGGUUCCUUCACGGGAGUGCCGGUUCGAUUCCGGCCCUCGGUA
rnacentral:tRNA from 1 species